UUAAGCGACUAAGCGUACACGGUGGAUGCCCUGGCAGUCAGAGGCGAUGAAGGACGUGCUAAUCUGCGAUAAGCGUCGGUAAGGUGAUAUGAACCGUUAUAACCGGCGAUUUCCGAAUGGGGAAACCCAGUGUGAUUCGUCACACUAUCAUUAACUGAAUCCAUAGGUUAAUGAGGCGAACCGGGGGAACUGAAACAUCUAAGUACCCCGAGGAAAAGAAAUCAACCGAGAUUCCCCCAGUAGCGGCGAGCGAACGGGGAGGAGCCCAGAGCCUGAAUCAGUGUGUGUGUUAGUGGAAGCGUCUGGAAAGGCGCGCGAUACAGGGUGACAGCCCCGUACACAAAAAUGCACAUGCUGUGAGCUCGAUGAGUAGGGCGGGACACGUGGUAUCCUGUCUGAAUAUGGGGGGACCAUCCUCCAAGGCUAAAUACUCCUGACUGACCGAUAGUGAACCAGUACCGUGAGGGAAAGGCGAAAAGAACCCCGGCGAGGGGAGUGAAAAAGAACCUGAAACCGUGUACGUACAAGCAGUGGGAGCACGCUUCGGCGUGUGACUGCGUACCUUUUGUAUAAUGGGUCAGCGACUUAUAUUCUGUAGCAAGGUUAACCGAAUAGGGGAGCCGAAGGGAAACCGAGUCUUAACUGGGCGUUAAGUUGCAGGGUAUAGACCCGAAACCCGGUGAUCUAGCCAUGGGCAGGUUGAAGGUUGGGUAACACUAACUGGAGGACCGAACCGACUAAUGUUGAAAAAUUAGCGGAUGACUUGUGGCUGGGGGUGAAAGGCCAAUCAAACCGGGAGAUAGCUGGUUCUCCCCGAAAGCUAUUUAGGUAGCGCCUCGUGAAUUCAUCUCCGGGGGUAGAGCACUGUUUCGGCAAGGGGGUCAUCCCGACUUACCAACCCGAUGCAAACUGCGAAUACCGGAGAAUGUUAUCACGGGAGACACACGGCGGGUGCUAACGUCCGUCGUGAAGAGGGAAACAACCCAGACCGCCAGCUAAGGUCCCAAAGUCAUGGUUAAGUGGGAAACGAUGUGGGAAGGCCCAGACAGCCAGGAUGUUGGCUUAGAAGCAGCCAUCAUUUAAAGAAAGCGUAAUAGCUCACUGGUCGAGUCGGCCUGCGCGGAAGAUGUAACGGGGCUAAACCAUGCACCGAAGCUGCGGCAGCGACACUAUGUGUUGUUGGGUAGGGGAGCGUUCUGUAAGCCUGUGAAGGUGUACUGUGAGGUAUGCUGGAGGUAUCAGAAGUGCGAAUGCUGACAUAAGUAACGAUAAAGCGGGUGAAAAGCCCGCUCGCCGGAAGACCAAGGGUUCCUGUCCAACGUUAAUCGGGGCAGGGUGAGUCGACCCCUAAGGCGAGGCCGAAAGGCGUAGUCGAUGGGAAACAGGUUAAUAUUCCUGUACUUGGUGUUACUGCGAAGGGGGGACGGAGAAGGCUAUGUUGGCCGGGCGACGGUUGUCCCGGUUUAAGCGUGUAGGCUGGUUUUCCAGGCAAAUCCGGAAAAUCAAGGCUGAGGCGUGAUGACGAGGCACUACGGUGCUGAAGCAACAAAUGCCCUGCUUCCAGGAAAAGCCUCUAAGCAUCAGGUAACAUCAAAUCGUACCCCAAACCGACACAGGUGGUCAGGUAGAGAAUACCAAGGCGCUUGAGAGAACUCGGGUGAAGGAACUAGGCAAAAUGGUGCCGUAACUUCGGGAGAAGGCACGCUGAUAUGUAGGUGAAGUCCCUCGCGGAUGGAGCUGAAAUCAGUCGAAGAUACCAGCUGGCUGCAACUGUUUAUUAAAAACACAGCACUGUGCAAACACGAAAGUGGACGUAUACGGUGUGACGCCUGCCCGGUGCCGGAAGGUUAAUUGAUGGGGUUAGCGGUAACGCGAAGCUCUUGAUCGAAGCCCCGGUAAACGGCGGCCGUAACUAUAACGGUCCUAAGGUAGCGAAAUUCCUUGUCGGGUAAGUUCCGACCUGCACGAAUGGCGUAAUGAUGGCCAGGCUGUCUCCACCCGAGACUCAGUGAAAUUGAACUCGCUGUGAAGAUGCAGUGUACCCGCGGCAAGACGGAAAGACCCCGUGAACCUUUACUAUAGCUUGACACUGAACAUUGAGCCUUGAUGUGUAGGAUAGGUGGGAGGCUUUGAAGUGUGGACGCCAGUCUGCAUGGAGCCGACCUUGAAAUACCACCCUUUAAUGUUUGAUGUUCUAACGUUGGCCCCUGAUCGGGGUUGCGGACAGUGUCUGGUGGGUAGUUUGACUGGGGCGGUCUCCUCCUAAAGAGUAACGGAGGAGCACGAAGGUUGGCUAAUCCUGGUCGGACAUCAGGAGGUUAGUGCAAUGGCAUAAGCCAGCUUGACUGCGAGCGUGACGGCGCGAGCAGGUGCGAAAGCAGGUCAUAGUGAUCCGGUGGUUCUGAAUGGAAGGGCCAUCGCUCAACGGAUAAAAGGUACUCCGGGGAUAACAGGCUGAUACCGCCCAAGAGUUCAUAUCGACGGCGGUGUUUGGCACCUCGAUGUCGGCUCAUCACAUCCUGGGGCUGAAGUAGGUCCCAAGGGUAUGGCUGUUCGCCAUUUAAAGUGGUACGCGAGCUGGGUUUAGAACGUCGUGAGACAGUUCGGUCCCUAUCUGCCGUGGGCGCUGGAGAACUGAGGGGGGCUGCUCCUAGUACGAGAGGACCGGAGUGGACGCAUCACUGGUGUUCGGGUUGUCAUGCCAAUGGCACUGCCCGGUAGCUAAAUGCGGAAGAGAUAAGUGCUGAAAGCAUCUAAGCACGAAACUUGCCCCGAGAUGAGUUCUCCCUGACUCCUUGAGAGUCCUGAAGGAACGUUGAAGACGACGACGUUGAUAGGCCGGGUGUGUAAGCGCAGCGAUGCGUUGAGCUAACCGGUACUAAUGAACCGUGAGGCUUAACCUU
rnacentral:rRNA from 1 species